rnacentral:rRNA from 1 species
CCUACGGGAGGCAGCAGUGGGGAAUAUUGGACAAUGGGCGCAAGCCUGAUCCAGCCAUACCGCGUGUGUGAAGAAGGCCUUCGGGUUGUAAAGCACUUUAAGCAGGGAGAAAAAGUUAUAAGUUAAUACCUUAUAACCGUGAUGUUACCUGCAGAAUAAGCACCGGCUAAUUCCGUGCCAGCAGCCGCGGUAAUACGGAAGGUGCAAGCGUUAAUCGGAAUUACUGGGCGUAAAGCGCGCGUAGGUGGUUUGUUAAGUUGGAUGUGAAAGCCCUGGGCUCAACCUAGGAACUGCAUCCAAAACUAACUCACUAGAGUACGAUAGAGGGAGGUAGAAUUCAUAGUGUAGCGGUGGAAUGCGUAGAUAUUAUGAAGAAUACCAGUGGCGAAGGCGGCCUCCUGGAUCUGUACUGACACUGAGGUGCGAAAGCGUGGGUAGCG